AUUGAACGCUGGCGGCAUGCCUUACACAUGCAAGUCGAACGGCAGCACGGGGCAACCUGGUGGCGAGUGGCGAACGGGUGAGUAAUGUAUCGGAACGUACCAUUCAGUGGGGGAUAACGUAGCGAAAGUUACGCUAAUACCGCAUAUUCUGUGAGCAGGAAAGCAGGGGAUCGCAAGACCUUGCGCUGAUUGAGCGGCCGAUAUCAGAUUAGCUAGUUGGUGAGGUAAAAGCUCACCAAGGCGACGAUCUGUAGCGGGUCUGAGAGGAUGAUCCGCCACACUGGAACUGAGACACGGUCCAGACUCCUACGGGAGGCAGCAGUGGGGAAUUUUGGACAAUGGGGGCAACCCUGAUCCAGCCAUGCCGCGUGAGUGAAGAAGGCCUUCGGGUUGUAAAGCUCUUUCGGCCGGGAAGAAAUCGCAUGGGUUAAUACCUGUGCGGAUGACGGUACCGGCAUAAGAAGCACCGGCUAACUACGUGCCACG
rnacentral:rRNA from 1 species